rnacentral:rRNA from 1 species
CAUACGGGUUGAAGCAUGACCGUAAGGACAUGUGGACAGUAUGGGAGUGAGAAUGUUGGCAUGAGUAGCGAGAUGUGGGUGAGAAUCCCACAGGCCGUAAACCCAAGGUUUCCAGGGGAAGGUUCGUCCGCCCUGGGUUAGUCGGGACCUAAGCUGAGGCCGAAAGGCGUAGGUGAUGGACAACAGGUUGAUAUUCCUGUACUACCGAUAACCGUUUGAGAGAAGGGAUGACACAGUAGGAUAAGCUAAGCACACUGUUGGUUAUGUGUGCCCAAGCAUUGAGGCAGUCAAAGCAGGCAAAUCCGCUUUGAUAAUGCUGGGAUGUGAUGGGGAGCGAAAUUUAGUAGCGAAGUAGCUGAUUUCACACUGUCAAGAAAAGUCUCUAUCGAGGUUAAAGGUACCCGUACCGCAAACCGACACAGGUGGGUGAGGAGAGUAUCCUAAGGCCAGCGAGAGAACUGUUGUUAAGGAACUCGGCAAAAUGACCCCGUAACUUAGGGAUAAGGGGUGCCACCAUCCGGUGGCCGCAGAGAAUAGGCCCAAGCGACUGUUUACCAAAAACAUAGGUUUCUGCUAAGUCGCAAGACGAUGUAUAGGAGCUGACGCCUGCCCGGUGCUGGAAGGUUAAGGGGAUCUGUUAGAGCAAUCGAAGCAGUGAACUUAAGCCCCAGUAAACGGCGGCCGUAACUAUAACGGUCCUAAGGUAGCGAAAUUCCUUGUCGGGUAAGUUCCGACCCGCACGAAAGGCGUAACGAUUUGGGCACUGUCUCAACAACAGACUCGGUGAAAUUGUAAUUCCGGUGAAGAUGCCGGAUACCUGCGACAGGACGGAAAGACCCCAUGGAGCUUUACUGUAGCUUGACAUUGGGUCUUGGUACUACAUGUACAGGAUAGGUGGGAGGCUUUGAAACCAGGACGCCAGUUUUGGCGGAGCCAUCCUUGGGAUACCACCCUUGUAGUACUGGGACUCUAACCAUAGGCCAUGAAUCUGGUCUUGGGACACUGUCAGGUGGGCAGUUUGACUGGGGCGGUCGCCUCCCAAAAGGUAACGGAGGCGCUCAAAGGUUCUCUCAGUACGGUCGGAAAUCGUACGUAGAGUGUAAAGGCAAAAGAGAGCUUGAUUGCAAGACAUACAGGUCGAGCAAGGAUGAAAAUCGGACUUAGUGAUCCGGUGGUUCUGCGUGGAAGGGCCAUCGCUCAACGGAUAAAAGCUACCCUGGGGAUAACAGGCUUAUCUCCCCCAAGAGUCCACAUCGACGGGGAGGUUUGGCACCUCGAUGUCGGCUCAUCACAUCCUGGGGCUGUAGUAGGUCCCAAGGGUUGGGCUGUUCGCCCAUUAAAGUGGUACGCGAGCUGGGUUCAGAACGUCGUGAGACAGUUCGGUCCCUAUCCGUCGCAGGCGUAGGAAAUUUGAGAAGACCUGUCCUUAGUACGAGAGGACCGGGAUGGACGUACCUCUGGUGUACCAGUUGUUCUGCCAAGGGCAUGGCUGGGUAGCUAUGUACGGAAUGGAUAAGCGCUGAAAGCAUCUAAGCGCGAAGCCAACUUCAAGAUAAGAUUUCCCACCGCAAGGGUAAGACCCCAGAAAGACUAUCUGGUUGAUAGGUCGAAGGUGUAAGUGCAGCAAUGUAUUUAGCUUAUCGAUACUAAUAGGUCGAGGACUUGACCAA